rnacentral:rRNA from 1 species
CAUGUAGGCGGCUUAAUAAGUCGAGCGUGAAAAUGCGGGGCUCAACCCCGUAUGGCGCUGGAAACUGUUAGGCUUGAGUGCAGGAGAGGAAAGGGGAAUUCCCAGUGCAGCGGUGAAAUGCGUAGAUAUUGGGAGGAACACCAGUGGCGAAGGCGCCUUUCUGGACUGUGUCUGACGCUGAGAUGCGAAAGCCAGGGUAGCGAACG